rnacentral:piRNA from 1 species
GAAGUUGAGGAUAAUGGCCUGUGGG